GAUGAACGCUGGCGGCGUGCCUAAUACAUGCAAGUCGAGCGAACAGACGAGGAGCUUGCUCCUCUGACGUUAGCGGCGGACGGGUGAGUAACACGUGGAUAACCUACCUAUAAGACUGGGAUAACUUCGGGAAACCGGAGCUAAUACCGGAUAAUAUAUUGAACCGCAUGGUUCAAUAGUGAAAGACGGUUUUGCUGUCACUUAUAGAUGGAUCCGCGCCGCAUUAGCUAGUUGGUAAGGUAACGGCUUACCAAGGCAACGAUGCGUAGCCGACCUGGGAGGGUGAUCGGCCACACUGGAACUGAGACACGGUCCAGACCCCUACGGGAGGCAGCAGUAGGGAAUCUUCCGCAAUGGGCGAAAGCCUGACGGAGCAACGCCGCGUGAGUGAUGAAGGUCUUCGGAUCGUAAAACUCUGUUAUUAGGGAAGAACAAAUGUGUAAGUAACUAUGCACGUCUUGACGGUACCUAAUCAGAAAGCCACGGCUAACUACGUG
rnacentral:rRNA from 1 species